GCCUAGUUAGCUUGGUUGGUAGCGCGUCUGCCUUGUAAGCGCUAGGCCGCGGGUUCGAUUCCCGCCCCGGGCG
rfam:Asian citrus Psyllid, Diaphorina citri - Florida Strain, whole genome shotgun sequence.